rfam:Glycine max cultivar Williams 82 chromosome 20, whole genome shotgun sequence.
AUAGCUUUCUCGGCCUUUUGGCUAGGAUCAAGUGUAGUAUCUUAUCAGUUUAGUAUUUGAUAUGUGGGCAUAUCAAAUUAAUUUUUAAGGGGAGGGUCCAAAGAGCUAGCUUGCUAGUGGGAAUCUCAGGCAUCGCCCAUAUCUUGCACUAUUGCAUGGGCCUGGUGCACCCUAC